rnacentral:rRNA from 1 species
GAUGAACGCUGGCGGCGUGCCUAAUACAUGCAAGUCGAGCGAACAGACGAGGAGCUUGCUCCUCUGACGUUAGCGGCGGACGGGUGAGUAACACGUGGAUAACCUACCUAUAAGACUGGGAUAACUUCGGGAAACCGGAGCUAAUACCGGAUAAUAUAUUGCACCGCAUGGUUCAAUAGUGAAAGACGGUUUUGCUGUCACUUAUAGAUGGAUCCGCGCCGCAUUAGCUAGUUGGUAAGGUAACGGCUUACCAAGGCAACGAUGCGUAGCCGACCUGAGAGGGGGAUCGGCCACACGGGAACGGAGACACGGUCCAGAGGACUAAGGGAGGCAGCAGUAGGGAAUGGUACGCAAUGGGCGAAAGCAUGACGGAGCAACGCCGCGUGAGUGAUGAAGGUCUUCGGAUCGGAAAAAUCUGUUAUUAGGGAAGAACAAAUGUGUAAGUAACUAUGCACGUCUUGACGGUACCUAAUCAGAAAGCCACGGCUAACUACGUG